rnacentral:tRNA from 1 species
AGGUGUUUAAUUUAUUAAAAUAUUAGUUUGUCAAAUUAAAAAUACCCCCCUACGGGUAAUACCUG